CCUCAGUCUCUUGAGUCUCAUGCACCGGUUCAAGUAUCUGGUGUGACCUAAAGUUGAAUGAUGUUUUUCUAUCAAUUACAACGUGCUUUAAAACCUGAGGCUCAGCGAUAUAUAUUAGCACUGGGAGUCUGUGCUGUUUUGAAGGAAUAAGGCUUGGUGAGCAUACAGCAAGCAGAUCAAGCACCCAGUGAGAGAGAAGUGACAUUUACGAAGAAUGGAAUAUGAGUGCGAGACAUCCUCUCUUCUCAGAUAUUGACGGAGCUCCACAGCCUGGAGUUGGCCACUUCUCAGCUUCAAAUAUGCUAGACCUUUGGAGCCUUUGUACUUGAGUUUACUCCUCACUCCUGCAGUGUCCUGCUCACACACAUGGUGCCUUAUUUUCUCCAUCUCCCUUCAUGGGAACCACUUCUAUUCUGCUCCAAGUUGUGGUAAAAAACCUUGAGACAUCCUUGUCAAUCCAACACACACUGACUGCCUGUAUCUGGGGAAUCAUGGUAAUACAGCCCUGUGUGGUUCUGGAAGCUUCUGUCUAUUAUGGAAUACUGUACCCCUUGAAUCCCUUGAGUGGUUCCUUGUUCCUGUCAUCUCUCCA